GAUGAACGCUGGCGGCGUGCCUAAUACAUGCAAGUCGAGCGAACAGACGAGGAGCUUGCUCCUCUGACGUUAGCGGCGGACGGGUGAGUAACACGUGGAUAACCUACCUAUAAGACUGGGAUAACUUCGGGAAACCGGAGCUAAUACCGGAUAAUAUAUUGAACCGCAUGGUUCAAUAGUGAAAGACGGUUUUGCUGUAACUUAUAGAUGGAUCCGCGCCGCAUUAGCUAGUUGGGAAGGUAACGGCUUACCAAGGCAACGAUGCGUAGCCGACCUGGAAGGGGGAGCGGCCACCCUGGAACUGGGACCGGGUCCAGCCUCCUACGGGAGGAGGCAGUAGGGAUUCUUCCGCAAUGGGCGAAGGCCUGACGGAGCAACGCGGCGGGGGUGAUGAAGGUCUUCGGAUCGUAAAACUCUGUUAUUGGGGAGGAACAAAUGUGUAAGUAACUAUGCACGUCUUGACGGUACCUAAUCAGAAAGCCACGGCUAACUACGUG
rnacentral:rRNA from 1 species